UACGUAGGGGCGCGAGCGUUGUCCGGAUUUAUUGGGCGUAAAGAGCUCGUAGGGCGGGCUUGUCGCGUCGACUGUGAAACCCGCGGGCUCAACUGCGGGGCCUGCAGCCGAUACGGGGCAGGCUAGAGUUCGGGUAGGGGAGGACUGGAAUUCCGGUGUAGCGGGUGGAAAUGCGCAGAUAUCAGGGAGGGAACACCGGGUGGGCGAAAGGCGGGG
rnacentral:rRNA from 1 species